rnacentral:rRNA from 1 species
CCUACGGGGGGCAGCAGUGAGGAAUAUUGGUCAAUGGACGAGAGUCUGAACCAGCCAAGUAGCGUGAAGGAUGACUGCCCUAUGGGUUGUAAACUUCUUUUAUAUGGGAAUAAAACGUUCCACGUGUGGGAUUUUGUAUGUACCAUAUGAAUAAGGAUCGGCUAACUCCGUGCCAGCAGCCUCGGUAAUACGGAGGAUUCGAGCGUUAUCCGGAUUUAUUGGGGUUAAAGGGAGCGUAGGUGGAUUGUUAAGUCAGUUGUGAAAGUUUGCGGCUCAACCGUAAAAUUGCAGUUGAAACUGGCAGUCUUGAGUACAGUAGAGGUAGGCGGAAUUCGUGGUGUAGCGGUGAAAUGCUUAGAUAUCACGAAGAACUCCGAUUGCGAAGGCAGUUCACUGGACUGCAACUGACACUGAGGCUCGAAAGUGUGGGUAUCAAACAGGAUUAGAUACCCCAGUAGUC